ACUGGGAGGGACUGGGAGGGAACUGGGAGGGACUGGGGGGGACUGGGAGGGAGUGGGAGGGAACUGGGAGGGACUGGGAUGGACUGGGAAGGACUGGGAGGCACUGGGAGGGACUGGGAGGGACUGGGAGGGAACUGGGACGGACUGGGACAGAACUGGGAGGGACUGCGAUGGACUGGUUCUUACUGGGUUAUACUGGGAUGGACUGGGACAUACUGGGAUGGACUGGGAGGGACUGGGAGGGACUGGGAGGGAACUGGGAGGGACUGGGAUGGACUGGGAAGGACUGGGAGGCACUGGGAGGGACUGGGAGGGACUGGUUUAUACUGGGAGGGACUGGUUCAUACUGGGAGGGACUGGGCCAUACUGGGGUGGGAGGAGGCGGGGAAAUGGGUUCUACUGGGGGCUUCUGCUGGUUCUUACUGGUUCCUAUGGGUCUCUAUUGACCACUAUGUGCCCAUACUGGUCCAUACUGGUCUGUACUGGUCCAUACUGGUCUGUACUGGUUUAUACUGGUCCGUCCUGGUCCGUACUGGUCCAUACUGGUGCGGGAGGAGGCGGGGAAAUGGGUUCUACUGGGAUCUCCUACUGCUUCUUACUGGGUUGUACUGGUUCCUAUGGGUCUCUAGUGACCACUAUGUGCCCAUACUGGUCCAUACUGGUCCGUACUGGUCCAUACUGGUCCAUACUGGUGCGGGAGGAGGCGGGGGAAUGGGUUCUACUGGGAUCUUCUACUGGUUCUUACUGGGUUCUACUGGUUCCUAUGGGUCUCUAGUGACCACUCUGGACCCAUACUGGUCCAUACUGGUUUAUACUGGUCCAUACCGGUCCAUACCGGUCCAUACCGGUCCAUACUGGUCCAUACUGGUUUAUACUGGUCCAUACUGGUCCAUACUGGUUUAUACUGGUCCAUACUGGUCCAUACUGGUCCAUACUGGUUUAUACUGGUCCAUACUGGUCCAUACUGGUCCAUACUGGUGCGGGAGGAGGUGGGGGAAUGGGUUCUACUGGGAUCUCCUACUGCUUCUUACUGGUUCCUAUGGCU
rnacentral:lncRNA from 1 species